UACGUAGGUGGCAAGCGUUGUCCGGAAUUACUGGGCGUAAAGGGUGCGUAGGCGGUCCUUUAAGUGGGAUGUGAAAUCCCUGGGCUUAACCCAGGAACUGCAUUCCAAACUGGAGGACUAGAGUGCAGGAGAGGAAAGCGGUAUUCCCAGUGUAGCGGUGAAAUGCGUAGAGAUUGGGAGGAACACCAGUAGCGAAGGCGGCUUUCUGGAAUGUAACUGACGCUGAGGCACGAAAGCGUGGGGAGCAAACAGGAUUAGAUACCCGGGUAGUCC
rnacentral:rRNA from 1 species